rnacentral:rRNA from 1 species
GACGGGGGGUGCAAGCGUUAUCCGGAAUCACUGGGCGUAAAGCGUCUGUAGGUGGUGAUGCAAGUCACUGGUGCAAAACUCUGGCUCAACCGGAGGAAAGCCAGUGAAACUGCAUGACUAGAGUGUGGGAGAGGUAGAAGGAAUUCCCUGAGUAGCGGUGAAAUGCGUAGAUACAGGGAAGAACACCGGAUGCGAAAGCGUUCUACUGGAACACAACUGACACUGAAAGACGAAAGCUAGGGGAGCGAAUGGG